GCCAUUAUUUUUCCUCGUUGGCUUACUGAUUUGGGUCUUCACACACCGUAAAAUUGUAAGUAAACCAUUAACCUUUCAAUGUUGUAUUUUUUUGUAGAUAUAGCUUAGAUAUUCCCCUUGUUGUGCGAAUUUUUUUAAAUUUCUAUCUGAUCUCUAGUCAUGAUCUAUAAAUUCCUUUAUUAAACCACCUUUUUCCCCCUUUUCCCCCUUUUUCCCCCACCCCCUCUUUCUUUCUUUUGAAAAAGAGAUUCUUUUGAGAGAGGAUUGCAUUGUCCGGAUCAUAUUCAUCAGGGAUCGAUCAUGGCCGGCCCAUCAGACGCUAAUUGUGCCGUCUGUCAUUCCCAAUCCAAUGUGACCAAUCAGCUCUUUUGCGUGGCCUGCGGAAAACAUUACCACGGCUCCUGUGUCGGACUGGGUAGCGGCCCGGGAGUCUGAACGGCCUGGAAAUGCAACGAGUGCAAAGUUUGCAUCACCUGCAGGACUCCAGUGGACCAACAGGGAACUGGACUGGGGCCAAGGCUGUCACCGACCGAACCAAAAUGCUCGUCUGCGACACUUUUGACAAAAAUUACAACCCCUCCUGUGUCCGGCCGUUGAUUUCCAACAUUCCCAAACUUGGCUGGAAAUGCAAAAAUUGCCGGGUGUGCGCCGAUUGCGGGUCAAGGACGCCCGGAUCGAGUCCUUCAUUUCGCUGGCAAGCUUGUUUCACCGUCUGCGAUUCCUGUUAUCAACAGAGGAACAAGGGCGUUUCCUGCC